UGAGCACACACUAUGGGUGGACCCUGGCCAGAUGCUCAACAUACACAGAUCCAAGUUGUUUUUUUCCUGUCUGCUGCUGGAAGAGUAGAAAUAACUGAACUCCGAGAUUUUCAGAAAAGCAGAG